rnacentral:rRNA from 1 species
AUUGAACGCUGGCGGCAGGCUUAACACAUGCAAGUCGAGCGGAGCGAGGGUGCUUGCACCUUAGCUUAGCGGCGGACGGGUGAGUAAUGCUUAGGAAUCUGCCUAUUAGUGGGGGACAACAUUCCGAAAGGAAUGCUAAUACCGCAUACGCCCUACGGGGGAAAGCAGGGGAUCUUCGGACCUUGCGCUAAUAGAUGAGCCUAAGUCGGAUUGGCUAGUUGGUGGGGUAAAGGCCUACCAAGGCGACGAUCUGUAGCGGGUCUGAGAGGAUGAUCCGCCACACUGGGGCUGGGACACGGCCCAGACUCCUACGGGAGGCAGCAGUGGGGAAUAUUGGGCAAUGGGCGGAAGCCUGAUCCAGACAUGCCGCGUGUGUGAAGAAGGCCUUUUGGUUGUAAAGCACUUUAAGCGAGGAGGAGGCUACUUAGAUUAAUACUCUGGGAUAGUGGACGUUACUCGCAGAAUAAGCACCGGCUAACUCUGUGCCAGCCGCCGCCGUAA